rnacentral:lncRNA from 1 species
AAAAAGGAUAGGACCGGUACUUAUUAUGGGAUUUUAGGAACUGGUAAGGAACCCUAGGUGGCAGUGUUUCAUUGGAUGUCGAGAUUGUAUCUCUCUCCUUUGUUCCGCUGUGAAACUUUAGGAGCUCGAGCUCCGACUCCCCUUCUUCUUCGUAUCAAGCUUCUCCAUAGCCGCUACAGCACUUCGUCAUCAAUCUGAGCUUCUCCGGCGAUAGCAUCAAGCCCUCUGGUCGUAACUGUGUUCACCAUUCCAAGCCGCCGCAUCUCUCCGCGACUCCCUAUCUCCGUUCAGCUCUAAACCGCGACAAAGCUUUCUCCAUGGCGUCAAUCCUCCACUGUCGUCGGAAUCAACGAGCUUCCGCCUCUUCAAGCCACCAUCCCCGUUACACUGCGACAGUAGCUCGCCUUCUUCGUCGAUCUCGAGUUUAGCCGUCGUCGUCUUGCUCGCAGUCUCACCUCCACCUUGGAUCUUCUUCAUCCUAGUCGCGAAUUUCCCACCGCUCGAUAAAAAGUUAAGGACCCCUAUGAAGUCCUACCAUUGGACAAAGAAAAAUUAAUUUAGCUAAAUAAAGGUCCUUAACCCUUACAAUCAUUGUUUUUAUUACUAAUUAAUUGUUAAGUACCCUUAAGGGCUCCUUACUGAUGGACAUGCUCUAAGUACUUGAGUAAAUGUCGAUGCCUGUAGGUCAAUUGGUUAAGGUGUCCCCAUCAGCUCUCGUGGACAUAGGUACGAUUCUUCUACAUUCCAUAUUUUAUGUUUUAUUUUAGUUUUGCUUUUCAGUUCUGAGUCUUCUGACUUUUUAGCUUGUCAGGUUUCCAUCAUUCAGUGGAACUAUUAAUUGCUCUGUACCAAGAUUUGAUUUAUUAUUAAUAAAUUCUUUUAUUUUCGUUAAUAUAAUUGCUUCUUUGAUUUAUUUAACUUUCACUAAAUUUUUUCGUUUUUUCGUUUCUAGAUUUCAUAUUUUCUGAAACAAUUUUUAAAUUUAUUAAUUCCUACAACUAACAUUAUCAGUUGCUAAUAAAUAAGAAAAUAAUUUUAUAUUAAGAUAGUAAACUAUAUAUUUACUUUGUAUUUAAUAUUUCAGAGAUUAUUUAUGUAUGAUAUAGUGAUAUGUAUAACUGUAAUACAAUCUAAAAUUAAAUACUACAUUAUAUAUGUAUACUAUAUAUAUUUAACUAAUUUUGAUUGUAGAAUUUUAUUAUUUUGAUUAAUAAUAUUUUUAGAUUUUUUAAGAACUAUUAAAAUAAUUUAUAAAACUUGGUAUAACUUGUAACAAUUACUAAAUAUUAUAUUAGUUUACAAGUUAUAAUUAAUAACUUUUUAUAAUACUUUUUUAUAUACUAAUAUUUUAACAGCUUUUAAUGUAAAUUAUUUUAAUAUAUAUAUUUAUCGUGUGCCCCCGCAAAUAAUUUUUCUGAAUCCCCCACUGCUCCCAACAUCCUAUCAAAGUAUAUAAUUGACUCGAUGAGCUUACAUAGAAAGAAGAAGCCUCAUCGUCUGCAUCCGCUCUUCCAAGUCCGAGUCCAUAACACUCCCAAUGCUUCCGAAAACUCCCUAGAUCGACAUGACCGUUUCGUUCAGAAUAUGAAACUCAUUUUUUAAAGAAAACAUCUGUCAGAGACUUUUCCGGAGAAUCUAUUUUCUGAGGUUUCUACUCGACUGAUUAGUUAUUUACUAGGAUAGGAUGCGCGUGAAUUUAUAUAAAAAUUAUUUAAGAAAUAUCGUAUGGAAAAAUAAAAUUUAUAUUCUUGAUCAAAUUAAUAUUUCUGGCCCUUAACAUUUUUCUAAAAACGUUUUUGUUAAUUACAUAAUUUAUUUACUGAUGAGCUCAUCUCAUUUUUAAAAAUAUUUUAGGUUAAAAAAUCACUUAUUGCAUAAGAACCUAACGUUUAUGCCGAAAAAUCUUAGGCCUACUAUUUGGUUACAAUGAAACUAUGUCAUUUCGGUUUUAUAUCAUGAUUUAGCAAUUUGAAAGUUAAUUAUGGUUAUGAGAAGUUUACGUUCACGUGCCAAAUCUAUCUUCAAUAUUUUUUCUCAUUUUUGUGUCGUUUUUUAUUUCAUUUUGGUUAUUGCUCAAUAUUAAUAUUGAUUUUUGAGUUUAUUCUUAUUUCAUUAUUUUAUUUUGACCCGAGAUUUAGAAAAUAUUUAAGAUUUAAAAUUAGUUAAGAGAUAAGGCCGAUGAGGACAAGGCAUUGUGGCAUCAGAGAUUAGGGCAUCCUGUCUCUGGUGUUUUAAGUUCUUUACCUUUCGUUUCUAGUGUUUUAGACAAUAGGGAGAAAUUUGGUGGUUGUGACAUUUGUUUAAAGUCCAAACAAACUCGAGGAGUGUUUUCUGAGAGUAUUAAUAAAGCUUAUGUUGCAUUUGAAUUGAUACAUGUUGAUCUUUGGGGUCCUUACCGCGAACCAUCCUCAUGUGGGGCCGUCUAUUUCCUUACAAUCGUCGACGACUUCUCCAGAGCGGUCUGGAUACAUUUGCUCCUUGGAAGUCGGAGGUCAAAAUGGUUUUACCCAACUUUUGUGCCUUGGCGCAAAGACAAUUUGGACGCUCAGUUCAAACGGUUUGAAGUGAUAAUGGAACAGAGUUUAUGUGUCUUUCAAAGUACUUCUCAGCCAAUGGAAUCAUUCAUCAUAUGUCUUGCGUGUCCACUCCACAACAGAAUGGUAGGGUUGAACGCAAACAUCGACACAUACUUAAGGUGUCGAGAUUGUAGAUGUUUCAAGCAAAUCUCCCCAUCAAGUUCUGAGACGAGUGUGUUCUUGCAGCUGCGCAUGUGAUCAACAGGAUGCCGUCGAGCCUGCUGCAUGGGAAGACUCCGUAUGAGUGCCUGUAUGGCAAACCUCCACGGUAUGAAGACAUCAAGGUCUUCGGGUGUUUGUGUUUCGCACACAAGGCAUCUCGUGACAAAGAUAAAUUCAAGGAGGGAAGCAGAAAGUGUGUCUUCGUGGUAUAUCCGUUUGGAAAACAUGGCUGGAAGUUGUAUGAUUUGGACAGUGGCGAGUUCUUUGUCUCACGUGAUGUUGUUUUCACUGAGACAUCAUUUCCUUAUGAUGAUAUCGCAGUUGCCUCCGGUGAUGCCACCACUCUGCCGGUGGCUCAAGAGACGAAUAUCAUGUGUUGCGAGUCACCGUUGUUGGAGUCAAGGGGAAGUGUCGAAGUAGAAGUUGCUGUAACUCCAACAGUGGAGGAUUCAACUGAGGCCGAGACUACUGAAGCAUCAGCCAAGCCUUCUGAUGUUGUCGUUGUCAGAAAGAGAGGUGCAGAAUCCAGUAACAGAGAGUGUUCAGGUGGAACAACUAGGGAGAGGACAUCGAGUCUCACAACCGUCCACAAGACUCAGAGACUAUGUAGCAUACAACUCCCAAUGUCUCAAUAAACAUAACACCACUCCUGCUUCGCCUGCAAUGCCAACAAGGUCCUCAGCGACGGUCCAAGGUACGUCAUCAUACCCCAUUUCUGCGUAUGUCUCUGAUGCAGUGUUCUCUGAGAAACAUCAAGUGUUCCUUGCAGCCAUAUCCUCAGAGAAAGAACCAAGAAACUUCAAAGAGGCGAUGCAAUAUCCACGCUUCAGAGACGUGAUAUCAACUGAGAUAGUAGCCCUGGAAGAACAGAGGACUUGGGAUGUGACAGACUUGCCGCGAGGAAAGAAAGCGCUGUCUUGUAUGUGGAUAUAUAAGUACAAGUUUAACGCUGAUGGUACGGUAGAAAAGCCCAAGGCUAGACUUGUAGUUUGCGGUAACAGACAAGUAGAGGGAGUAGAUUACAACGAGACUUUUGCUCCACUCGUGAAGUUAACGACGGUUCAAACAUUGUUGGAGGUUUCUGCGGCAAAGAACUGGGAGGUCCAUCAGAUGGACGUGCAUAAUGCAUUCCUCCAUGGAGAGUUAGAGGAGGAAGUCUAUAUGCAGAUGCCUCCUGGAUUCGAGUCAGGUGAGUAUGGUCAGGUGUGUCGCUUGAGAAAGUCUCUGUAUGGACUGAAACAAGCGCCGAGAUGUUGGUUUUCAAAGUUGACAGAUGCAUUGAAGAAGUUUUGGUUCAAGCAGUCGUAUUCUGACUAUUCUCUCUUCACAUACAUCAAAGGAGAUAGAUCACUUCGAGUACUUGUGUAUUUAGACGAUCUGAUCAUAGCGGGGAACGAUGUGAAGAUGGUGACAAAGUUCAAAGCGUAUCUGAGUGACUGCUUCAAGAUGAAAGACUUGGGGAAAGCCAAGUACUUCUUGGGUAUUGAGAUUGCGAGAGGACCAUAAGGGAUGUUCUUGACGCAGAGGAAGUAGGUACUUGACAUAGUAGCGGAUGCAGGCCUGCUUGAGUGCAAGUCAGUUGCGACUCCAAUGGAGCAAAAUCACAAACUCUUGUCGGAUAAAGGAUCGUUCUGUAAGGAUCCAGCUCGUUAUCGAUGGUUUGUGGGAAAAUUGGUCUAUCUGGUUAUAACGAGACCAGAGUUGAGCUACGCGGUGCAUGUGCUGUCUCAGGUUAUGCAACACCCGCGAGAGGCGCACUGGGAUGCUGUUGUACGAGUGAUAAGAUAUCUGAAGGGGUGCCCUGACCAAGGCAUUAUGUUGAAGUCGAUAAGUGAUCUGCGUCUGCGUGUGUUUUGCGAUGCGGAGUGGGCGGUGAUAGAACCAAAAUAAGGAUCACUCUUCGGUAAGGUUGAUAUGAACUCAGAUCCGAGAGGAUUGAGAACUGAUGGAUCGAGGGGUGACACUAAGGGUUACGGAAUAGCCCAAAGAUACUACCAGACUUCGAUCGUUGCCGGAUGUGACGCACCGGUCCAACAAAAGAAGGAUCGAAACUUGGAGAUAACCUCACCAAGAAACUAAGAACAAGUUCUACAAAGAACAAAGAGUUUUAACUCAACAAAAGGGGAAAACAAUCUGUCUUAUUUCGUGGCUCUAAGGCCUUAUUUAUAGGAUUACAAGUUGUAGAAAUCCAAAGAAGAAUGUGCUAAAAACAAGACAUAGAAACUAGAAAUGAAGACUUUGACUAAAGACCGAAAUUAAUGAUUUUUGUUGAAUUCUUUUUCCCAUGCACGACCAAGACUUCCUUGCUGACUCCCUCUUGGUAUUCUUGAUGAGAAUGUGCUUGAAAUGGACUGAGAAAAGGGCUGGUCGAAUUUGGAAAGAAACAAUCCCAUAAUGAACUUUUUAUGAACUUUUCUUUAGGCUGAAAAGGCCCAUUUCGCCCAGCAGCUGAACCAGCUCCAUCUUCAGUGUUACUUAGCUCAUUCAGCUCCAAGCUAGUAUCAUUUUGCUCACUCAGCUCAUCCAGCUCCAGAGUAGUGUCACUCAGCUCACUCAGCUCAUCUAGCUCGCCCAAGUAAGUGUUACCUCGUCCAGCUCGUCCAAAGUGGAUUCUAGCUCGACCAUAUGUCUUCAAAAGUGAAGUUGGACGGGAAAGACAAGCCCCAGUAUGGUCAGAUCGGUCAUCUGGCCAUGGUUCCAGCCAAAGCUCCUUUCCGGACGUAUGCGGGACGGUCCAGUACACUGCACGGUCAGUCUGUCCGGUACGGUGAAAAACAUGAACCUCGGUUGAAAUGUUCAGAACGUUCUGGUCUCCAGGCUGGUUCGGCUCCAUGUACUGAGCCGUGGACCGCGGUCUAUCAUUCCCUCCUUCUUCAAAAGGAUUUGUCCUCAAAUCCAAAGUACCUAUAUCAAAAAGAGAUGAAUCAGAUACAAAUGAAUUAAAAUUCAUGGAAAAUUCAGGGAAUGAAAAAUAUGGACAGAAACUUCCUUGGAGUUUUGAAGUCAUUUUCAUCAAGGAAUUCCAAGUACUUUGGCGUCCAUUGGUGCUUGCUCUGCUUAUAAACUGAUCAUGCUUAUCCUGUUUAUUCAAAGCAACUAGAGAAACCACAUCAAAUCUGCCAAAGAAAUAAUCAAAGGGUUUCUCUAUCCUUAAGACAUCAAAAUCAGGAUCCAUGCCCUUAGGAUAAUCAUCAAGGACGUGGGCAAGCAUUAAGCAAGUAAGCUGGUUGCCAAAAAUCGAUUUAUCAAUCUCAAAAUCAGGCCAAAGUGAGAAACUGUUAUGGAAAGAAAGAGACAAUGCCAAAUUUGAAAAAUUAUCAUCAUGAACGAAAUCAAAAGAAUUCUUUGGCCUAAGAAAUUUUAGUUCAUGCUCUUUCCUGCACCAAAUCUCUUUCAAAGCACAGCUCAAUGAAAUCAAUUCAUGAAAAGGUUUGAGCAAAACGGUUUUCAACCAAGUAAGAAUAUGUUUUCUUUUUGAAAUUCUCGUUUUCAAAACAUUUUCAGGAAGAGUAGAGGCAAUCAACUCAUGAUCCUUACAGUGCUUUUGGUUUAGACAGGAGAAUGACUGAGGAAACACCUUUGGUUCAUGGAGGAUCGGUUUUGGCUCAGGCCGAUUCUUUCUGGGGCAUGAAUCUCCUUUAGAAAUCUGGUACUCGCGGAUAGAUGGACUGAAGAACCUCCGGUUUGGAAAAUUCAUAACGUCUUCAUCAGUGAAGCUUUUCAUGCGAUUACAAGCCUCAGUGAAUCCUUGAUGAGUUGGCUUUCUUGUAAAAUUGGAUUCAAGACAAAAGACCUUCGGACUGUUGAGAUAUCCUUCUUGGACUGAACCUCUGUUGCUGGCACCAAGGUAGUCGGUUUGAACAACAAAGCUUCUCCAAAUCUGAGGUUGUUGGGCACGCCCAAUGCUUUCAUUCAGAGGCUGAACCUGUCUUUCCUGGAUACUCAAAACAAACACUAAAAGACUAGGAUCAAAUGUGCAAGAUAAAUAUUUGUUCAAAUCACAAAUCAAGAUAUCUUUUCCAAGAACAAAUUGCACAUUUUUCAGCCUUUCAAGGUGCUCAUCAAAGUAAAUAUUACAGACAAGAAUUUUAUCAAGAUAUGCAACAACAGUAUUCAUUUUCAAAAUGGGCAUAUCCUUCCCAACAUCUGAACACACAAGCUUAAGUUCAGUUUGAGAAUCAUUUAUCAAAAGUUCAAGGCAUUUCUCAAAGAAUGUGUUGUAAACCAAAAUAUCAUCAGAACUCAAGACAACACCAUUAUCACGAAAUGAUCUCAGAAAAUGCCAAGUAUUAUCAGUUUCAAAACUCAAGAGAUCAGGCUGCAAAACAGAACCACAAAAUUCAAGAUCACGAAAAUCAUUUUCAGUUUCAAGUGAUUUCUGUUCCAGCAACUUCUGAAUCAAAAUUUCGUCCAAGGCAUAAGAGGAUGCAAACAAUUCAUCAGUGAUCAGUACAUGUCUAGAAGAACUCAGAUCAAAGCUAUUUCCUUUGCAAACAAACGAAUCAAGAGAUUUUUCAGCACAAAAAUCAGUUUGUUGCAAAUCAAGAUCAAAUGGCCUUCCAAGAAGAUGAAAACCUUUGUUAUGUUCCAAGAACUGAUCAAAGCUCAAAAUAAUUCCAUAAGUGAUGCCAUUGACAUUUUGAAAACGUGAUUGAUCAAGACAUUUAUCAGGUUCAAAGAUUUUUAAAGAAUUAAUCAGGUUAUCAAAAACAGAUUUUGAAACAAAAAAAUCUUUCAUCUUGUCAAGACCAAAACGAAUUACAUCAUCAGUACUGACUUUCACAAACAUGUCAGGCAGAGAAUUAAGAGAAGAAGGUUCCUCACAGUGCUCUUGAAGAUCAGGAGGUAAAGGGGCAGGAGUUGUGCCGGGAUCAAAGCAUAGAUAGUUCUCCAUAGCAAUGGAUGUGAUGCUUGUUGCUUCUUCAUCAAAGACUGGACCAGGUUCGUCCUCCUCAUCAAAGAUAGGACCUAGAUCAUAGUGUCAAGACAUGGGCACUGAUGUGGAAAAUCCAGUGGCUCUUCCUCAAAAACCUGUGGAGACAAAACAAGACUACUCGGAAGCUCCGGUUGCAAAACAGUUAGUUCUACAAUAGCUUGUUCAUUAUCAAGAUUAAACUCAGUUUCAAGAGAAGGAAGAUCACAAUUUUUUUCACAAAACAUCAAACUUUCAAUUAGCUCUUCAUCAGAUUCAUCAAAAAUGGGUAGAGAAUCUGAAAAAUCUUUAAGUUCUUCAAAAUGGUUUUCAGAUUUACCUUGGGCUUUCUUACUGAUAAACAAGGAUGGCUCAGCUACUGGAGCACGUGUGGAUGUGCUCUUCUUUUGGCUCUUGCUGACGUCCUUGAGGGCUUUGUCCACACCCUUCACAAAGUUAUCACAAAAUUGUUGGACAUCAAACUGAAGCAAUCGCCUUCUUGGAUCAGAUUCACCUUUGGAUGUAUUGACAUGCUCUUUGCUCCACCUGUUUGGUUUUUCCUGCACACUAACACACUCAUCAAAAUAAUUCAAAGAAGAUUUAAAGGAGGUUUGAGAGACAGAAAGUCGUGGGUGCUUCUCCUUGUUACUUUUCCUUUGGAGACCAAACAUCGUAAACCUAAAAAAUCUCAACACAAAAGUUAGUAGAUAAAAACCUCACACUCUCAAGUGUUUGAUCCUCACCCACACAAGUGUUUCUCUCAGAUUUAGGUGAUCACACACAAGUUUUUUACUCAAUGUUCUAAGAGAACAAAUCAAGGAAUCCCAAUGGGCAAAUCCAAGCAAACAAGGGAAUUUUCUCAAGAUAGAUAGAUAAGAGAUUUUUGAUUUUUUUGAAAUCCGUUUUAACCACCUCAAAGGCUAAAUUUCUCCUCAGCCAGCAGGCUUUCUCUUCCACCACCAAUCCCCAAAUGAAACUUUCGAUUUCUAUUUUUUUUUAUGAGGAUCUUUCUUUCUUUUUUUUUUUUUUGAUUAGAUCUUUUUUUUUGAUAUGGUGGAUGGUAAUGAGGGGCCCGGAUUUAAGAAAGGUAGAAGAAGAAGUUUUUAUAAGAAAAUGGAAGAUGAGAAAGAUGAAUGAAAUAGACAAUACCGGAAGAGUGGCUCUGAUACCACUUGAUAGAACCAAAAUAAGGAUCACUCUUCGGUAAGGUUGAUAUGAACUCAGAUCCGAGAGGAAUGAGAACUGAUGGAUCGAGGGGUGACACUAAGGGUUGCAGAAUAGCCCAAAGAUACUACCAGACUUCGAUCGUUGCCGGAUGUGACGCACCUGUCCAACAAAAGAAGGAUCGAAACUUGGAGAUAACCUCACCAAGAAACUAAGAACAAGUUCUACAAAGAACAAAGAGUUUUAACUCAACAAAAGGGGAAAACAAUCUGUCUUAUUUCGUGGCUCUAAGGCCUUAUUUAUAGGAUUACAAGUUGUAGAAAUCCAAAGAAGAAUGUGCUAAAAACAAGACAUAGAAACUAGAAAUGAAGACUUUGACUAAAGACCGAAAUUAAUGAUUUUUGUUGAAUUAUUUUUCCCAUGCACGACCAAGACUUCCUUGCUGACUCCCUCUUGGUAUUCUUGAUGAGAAUGUGCUUGAAAUGGACUGAGAAAAGGGCUGGUCGAAUUUGGAAAGAAACAAUCCCAUAAUGAACUUUUUAUGAACUUUUCUUUGGGCUGAAAAGGCUCAUUUCGCCCAGCAGCUGAACCAGCUCCAUCUUCAGUGUUACUUAGCUCAUUCAGCUCCAAGCUAGUGUCAUUUUGCUCACUCAGCUCAUCCAGCUCCAGAGUAGUGUCACUCAGCUCACUCAGCUCACUCAGCUCGCCCAAGUAAGUGUUACCUCGUCCAGCUCGUCCAAAGUGGAUUCUAGCUCGACCAUAUGUCUUCAAAAGUGAAGUUGGACGGGAAAGACAAGCCCCAGUAUGGUCAGAUCGGUCAUCUGGCCAUGGUUCCAGCCAAAGCUCCUUUCCGGACGUAUGCGGGACGGUCCAGUACACUGCACGGUCAGUCUGUCCGGUACGGUGAAAAACAUGAACCUCGGUUGAAAUGUUCAGAACGUUCUGGUCUCCAGGCUGGUUUGGCUCCAUGUACUGAUCCGUGGACCGCGGUCUAUCAGGCGGCGUGUCCUAAGUCGCGACGAUCUCUGUCUUCGUUUGUUGUCUUGCUAGGUGACUCACCUAUCUCCUGGAAGACGAAGAAGCAGAACACAGUCUCUCACUCUUCAGCUGAAGCAGAGUACAGGUCAGUGGCGGCGGCGUUGCGAGAGCUCAAAUGGCUUAAGCGACUCUUGCGAGACUUCGGAGUGCAACACUCUGCGCCAAUGGUAAUGUUCUGCGACAGUAAAUCAGCGUUGUAUAUUGCAGCCAACCCUGUGUUUCACGUGCGCACGAAACACAUCGAAGCUGACUGUCAUAGUGUCAGAGACGCAGUUCAAGAUAAGUCGAUCGUGACUAGACAUGUUCGUACAACAGAACAGCUAGCAGACAUCAUGACUACAGCGUUGGGAGCUCCUGCGUUUCACUAUCUGUUGGCCAAGUUAGGUGUUCGUAAUCUCCACGCACCAACUUGAAGGGGAGUGUUAGUGAUGGUUAUGUCGGGUUAGAGUGUACCGGUUAGGAGAUAUGGUAUCUUGGAGUAUAAGUUAAUAGAUAAGAGAUAAGUACGAAGUACGAAGUAGUUGUGAUAAGUAUAGAUCUGAUAUGUUGAGAUCUUGAUUGUAACUAAUAUAUAUGUAAGUUGUACGUGAUCAAUACAACUCAGAACAUUCACAACAUCUUCUUCCUUAGUUUACAGUAAGUCCCAGUUCAGUUUAUUUACUUGCAUAAGUUUAUUGAUGUUUAGUGAUUUUGAUGGCUUGAUGCAGUCAUGUAUAAGCAUCUGUUCUUACCGAGUACUUGAUUUUUAAUCAGGAGUGUGGAAUUGCUUACAGUUUUUUAACCCUCUCUUUUGCUCUUUUGAGCCGCUCUCUUCCUGGACCAGUGAGUGUUGUGUUUUUUUGUUUCAUGUUGUAAGUUUUCUUUGAAACCUGUGUUAUGAUCUCAAGUUGUGAAGCAAGUUGGUAAAGUUU